rnacentral:lncRNA from 11 species
CGGAGGAGGAGGAAAGAGCCCAAAGCACUACUAGGCAGCGGAUGGUUCCUGGUCAUAACACUUCCUAAGCCAUGGCCGGGUCUGGGCGCAACAAGACGCCAUCUCUUUGGGUGACAUGGGGCAUGGGCAAACUUCGGCCCUCCAGAUUUACUAGCGACAUGUUACCAGGAAGAAAAAUGAAGAUUCCUUGCAGCAUUUUGGCCAAACAGGAGGUUCCAAGUGCAAUUGUUCCCUGCUGGCUCACUUUUGCCCUGUCUAGUUCAGAAGGCUUUUCACCAUUGUCUGAAGGAAGGAAGGAAAGAAAGAAAGAAAGAAAGAAAGAAAGAAAGAAAGAAAGAAAGAAAGAGAAAGAGAACGAAAUCCCUA